AUCCUUAUAUAUCCUUAUGAAAUAUUAUUUUCAAACUUCAACAACUCAUAUCUCCCAAUUAGACUAAUAAAACACACUCAAAUUUUAUAUAAAGUGUUAAUGUACUUUUAAAAACUACCACAUUAAAUUUCAACCACAAAUUCAAUGCAAAUCUUGAAAUAUUGCCAAAAUCCUAAUAGUAGCUUCAAACCUUCGUUUUUAUACAUUUAUAUCCAAUUUUCUUCAUAUUUCAUAAAAUAACUACUUAAACACUACAAAAUUUAUAUUUAUAGAUUUUUAAUAUAUUAAUUUAUCUUCUUCAAAAGGUUUGAGCUUAAAAUUCAUCCGGAAACUCAAGAUAUGGCUCCAAGCAUUACUAUGAAUAAAAUCACUCACUUAUUGUCUUUGAUAUAUAUGUAUUGUCUUCAAUGUUUUAUAACUCCUUCAUGUAAGCUUAGAAAUUAUUAAAUAGUAUAUAAAAAGUGUAGUCUAAAAAUUUCUCUCUCCAAUCCUAAUCACCAAUCCUUUGUUGCUCUCCAUAAGCAUAUGUUAUG
rnacentral:lncRNA from 1 species